AAGUCGUAACAAGGUUUCCUUCCACAGCGAACCACGGAAGCCUUUGCACCCCCUAACGGGGAGCCCCGCGACUAUAAACAAGGGCUGCGCAGGUGGCCUCACAGGCUGCAACACGAUCGAAUUGCGGGGACGUCCUAAAGCCUAACGGUACCAACCUCGGGGGGAAACCUCAGGGGGGCCUGCGCUAACCGCGUGGGGUGGUCAGAACCCGUUGGGAUGCUACAGUGGACAAUCCGCAGCGGAGCCCCUACCGGCCUAUGGCCCAUGGGGAACGUUCACAGACUAGGUGAUCGUGGGGUGGGUGCUAAGGCGCCCUCCUUAAGAUAUAGUCGGGCUGCUUGGGAGACGAGCAGGGUGUUUCGCACUGUACCGUUCCGUAGGUGAACCUGCGGAAGGAUCAUUACAGAGUUUCAUGCCCUAUGGGUAGAUCUCCCCACCCCUUGUGUAUUUAUACCAUGUUGCUUUGGCGGGGCCGUCAGGCUUCGGUCAGGCCCACGGCGCAGGCUGUGGAGCGCCCGCCGAGGGACCUUCAAACUCUGAAUGUUAGGUCGUCUGAGUACUAUAAAAUAGUAAA
rnacentral:misc_RNA from 1 species